UCCCAUAAUGUCUAGUGGUUAGGAUACCUGGAUCUCACCCAGGAGGCCCGGGUUCAAUUCCCGGUAUGGGAA
rnacentral:tRNA from 1 species